rnacentral:rRNA from 1 species
UACGUAGGGUGCAGGCGUUAAUCGGAAUUACUGGGCGUAAAGCGUGCGCAGGCGGUCUUUUAAGUCAGAUGUGAAAUCCCCGGGCUUAACCUGGGAAUGGCCAUGGAAACUGGCGAGCUGGAGUGUGGCAGAGGGGGGUGGAAUUCCGCGUGUAGCAGUGAAAUGCGUAGAGAUGCGGAGGAACACCGAUGGCGAAGGCAGCCCCCUGGGUUGACACUGACGCUCAGGCACGAAAGCGUGGGGAGCAAACAGG